rnacentral:ncRNA from 1 species
GCAGCGCAUGUUUCAAAACUAUAUUUGCAAAGCUAACGCCCUUAAGCCGUGCGGUGCGGAUAUACUGCGCAGUCAUGACUUCUGCCAUGGACGCACGGGUCAUCCGGGCUAUGUACCCCAUGCCAUACAGGGCAAUGGUGAGCACAGGCAGAAGAAAAUUCUCGAGCGUCGCGU